GGCCUACGGGGGGCAGCAGUGAGGAAUAUUGGUCAAUGGGCGGGAGCCUGAACCAGCCAAGCCGCGUGAAGGAAGAAGGCGCCAAGCGUCGUAAACUUCUUUUGUCGGGGAACAAAGGGCGCCACGUGUGGCGUUGUGAGUGUACCCGAAGAAAAAGCAUCGGCUAACUCCGUGCCAGCAGCCGCGGUAAUACGGAGGAUGCGAGCGUUAUCCGGAUUUAUUGGGUUUAAAGGGUGCGCAGGCGGAUUUUUAAGUCAGCGGUCAAAUCGUGGGGCUCAACCCCAUCCAGCCGUUGAAACUGGGGG
rnacentral:rRNA from 1 species